CCAGAACCAGAUAUGAGUAGCAGAGACAGAGAGAGAAGAUGGUCUCUUCGGGGAUUGACUGCUCUUGUUGCUGGAGGAACCAAAGGGAUUGGGCACGCUAUAGUGGAAGAAUUGGCAGGGCUAGGUGCAACUAUCCAUACUUGUGCUCGGAAUGAAGUUGAUCUCAAUGACUGCUUGAGCCAAUGGGAGAAGAAGGGUUUUCAAGUCACUGGUUCAGUGUGUGGUGUGGUGUCAAGAACCCAAAGAGAGGAGCUUAUAAACAAACUGAUCCAUUUAAUAAAGUGGGUGUGUUGUAAUUUUAGGUGGCAUCAAUGUUGUAAUAAAUGAUAAGAUGAUAAAUGAUCAUUUGGCAUCAAUUUUAUGUAAUUUAUUUUU